rnacentral:rRNA from 1 species
AUUGAACGCUGGCGGCAGGCCUAACACAUGCAAGUCGAACGAGUGGCGGACGGGUGAGUAAUGUCUGGGAAACUGCCUGAUGGAGGGGGUUAACUACUGGAAACGGUAGCUAAUACAGCAUACCAUCAGAUUUUCCCAGAUGGGAUUAGUUAGUUGGUGGGGUAACGGCUCACCAAGGCGACGAUCCCUAGCUGGUCUGAGAGGAUGACCAGCGACACUGGAACUGAGACACGGUCCAGACUCCUACGGGAGGCAGCAGUAGGGAAUAUUGCACAAUGGGCGAAAGCCUGAUGCAGCAAUGCCGCGUGUAUGAAGAAGGCCUUCGGGUUGUAAAGUACUUUCAGCGGGGAGGCGUUACCCGCAGAAGAAGCACCGGCUAACUCCGUGCCAGCAGCCGCGGUAAUUC